rnacentral:lncRNA from 1 species
AUUAAGCUCUGGUAGUUCCUCCAUAACUUCUAAAAUCUCUGGAAACAUCUCAAGACUCGAGCAGCCAGAAAGAUCAAGGGUUAUGAGAGAUCUCAUAUGAAUGAUGCUUGGAAGACUCUUGAGUUCCUUGCAAUCUUUUAGGUUCAAAUAUCUCAAUCCUGUGAGAUUAUUAAUUGACGAGGGUAGUUCUUUAAUUUUUGACCCAGAUAUAUCAAGCGUUUGUAGUUCCUCCAUAACUUCUAAAAUCUCUGGAAACAUCUCAAGACUCGAGCAGCCAGAAAGAUCAAGGGUUAUGAGAGAUCUCAUAUGAAUGAUGCUUGGAAGACUCUUGAGUUCCUUGCAAUCUUUUAGGUUCAAAUAUCUCAAUCCCGUGAGAUUAUUAAUUGACGAGGGUACUUCUUUAAUUUUUGACCCAGAUAUAUCAAGCGUUUGUAGUUCCUCCAUAAUUUCUAAAAUCUCUGGAAACAUCUCAAGACUCGAGCAGCCAGAAAGAUCAAGGAUUUUGAGAGAUUUCAUACGAAUGCUGCUUGAAAGACUCUU